rnacentral:rRNA from 1 species
UACGUAGGGGGCAAGCGUUGUCCGGAUUUAUUGGGCGUAAAGAGCUCGUAGGCGGUCUGUCGCGUCGGCUGUGAAAACCCGGGGCUCAACCCCGGGCCUGCAGUCGAUACGGGCAGACUAGAGUGCGGUAGGGGAGACUGGAAUUCCUGGUGUAGCGGUGAAAUGCGCAGAUAUCAGGAGGAACACCGGUGGCGAAGGCGGGUCUCUGGGCCGUAACUGACGCUGAGGAGCGAAAGCGUGGGGAGCGAACAGG